GACCAGACUCCUACGGGAGGCAGCAGUGGGGGAUAUUGCACAAUGGGGGAAACCCUGAUGCAGCGACGCCGCGUGAGCGAUGAAGUAUUUCGGUAUGUAAAGCUCUAUCAGCAGGGAAGAAAAUGACGGUACCUGACUAAGAAGCCCCGGCUAACUACGUGCCAGCAGCCGCGGUAAUACGUAGGGGGCAAGCGUUAUCCGGAUUUACUGGGUGUAAAGGGAGCGUAGACGGCGGCGCAAGCCAGAUGUGAAAGCCCGGGGCUCAACCCCGGGACUGCAUUUGGAACUGUGCCGCUAGAGUGUCGGAGAGGCAGGCGGAAUUCCUAGUGUAGCGGUGAAAUGCGUAGAUAUUAGGAGGAACACCAGUGGCGAAGGCGGCUUACUGGACGGCAACUGACGCUGAGGCUCGAAAGCGUGGGGAGCAAACAGGAUUAGAUACCCUAGUA
rnacentral:rRNA from 1 species